AACGAACGCUGGCGGCAUGCCUAACACAUGCAAGUCGAACGAGACCUUCGGGUCUAGUGGCGCACGGGUGCGUAACGCGUGGGAAUCUGCCCUUGGGUUCGGAAUAACAGUUGGAAACGACUGCUAAUACCGGAUGAUGACGUAAGUCCAAAGAUUUAUCGCCCAGGGAUGAGCCCGCGUAGGAUUAGCUAGUUGGUGGGGUAAAGGCCUACCAAGGCGACGAUCCUUAGCUGGUCUGAGAGGAUGAUCAGCCACACUGGGACUGAGACACGGCCCAGACUCCUACGGGAGGCAGGAGUGGGGAAUAUUGGACAAUCGGCGAAAGCCUGAUCCAGCAAUGCCGCGUGAGUGAUGAAGGCCUUAGGGUUGUAAAGCUCUUUUACCCGGGAUGAUAAUGACAGUACCGGGAGAAUAAGCCCCGGCUAACUCCGUG
rnacentral:rRNA from 1 species